GACGAACGCUGGCGGCGUGCUUAACACAUGCAAGUCGAACGAAGUGGCGAACGGGUGAGUAACGCGUAAUCAACCUGCCCUUCAGAGGGGGACAACAGGUGGAAACGACUGCUAAUACAGCAUACUGAAGGAGGGGCUUGCGUCGGAUUAGGUAGGUGGAGGGGGAACGGACCACCAAGGCGAGUGUAAGUAGCCGUUCUGAGAGGAUGAACGGCCACAUUGGGACUGAGAAACGGCCCAGACUCCUACGGGAGGCAGCAGUGGGGAAUCUGCCGCAAUGGACGAAAGUCUGACGGAGCAACGCCGCGUGAGUGAUGACGGCCUUCGGGUUGUAAAGCGCUGUUAAUCGGGACGCGGUACCGGAAUAGAAAGCCACGGCUAACUACGUGCCAGCAGCCGCGGUAAUAC
rnacentral:rRNA from 1 species